rnacentral:rRNA from 1 species
UAGGGAAUCUUCCGCAAUGGACGCAAGUCUGACGGAGCAACGCCGCGUGAGUGAAGAAGGAUUUCGGUUCGUAAAACUCUGUUGUUAGAGAAGAACAGCGCAUAGAGUAACUGUUAUGCGUGUGACGGUAUCUAACCAGAAAGCCACGGCUAACUACGUGCCAGCAGCCGCGGUAAUACGUAGGUGGCAAGCGUUAUCCGGAAUUAUUGGGCGUAAAGCGCGCGUAGGCGGUCAAUUAAGUCUGAUGUGAAAGCCCCCGGCUCAACCGGGGAGGGUCAUUGGAAACUGGUUGACUUGAGUGCAGAAGAGGAGAGUGGAAUUCCAUGUGUAGCGGUGAAAUGCGUAGAUAUAUGGAGGAACACCAGUGGCGAAGGCGACUCUCUGGUCUGUAACUGACGCUGAGGCUCGAAAGCGUGGGUAGCAAACAGG